AGCGAACGCUGGCGGCAGGCUUAACACAUGCAAGUCGAACGGGCGCUUCGGUGCUAGUGGCAGACGGGUGAGUAACGCGUGGGAACGUGCCUUUCGGUUCGGAAUAAUCCAGGGAAACUUGGACUAAUACCGGAUACGCCCUUCGGGGGAAAGAUUUAUCGCCGAAAGAUCGGCCCGCGUCUGAUUAGCCAGUUGGUGAGGUAAAGGCUCACCAAGGCGACGAUCAGUAGCUGGUCUGAGAGGAUGAUCAGCCACAUUGGGACUGAGACACGGCCCAAACUCCUACGGGAGGCAGCAGUGGGGAAUAUUGGACAAUGGGCGCAAGCCUGAUCCAGCCAUGCCGCGUGAGUGAUGAAGGCCUUAGGGUUGUAAAGCUCUUUUGUCCGGGAAGAUAAUGACUGUACCGGAAGAAUAAGCCCCGGCUAACUUCGUGCCAGCCGCCGCGGUAACAC
rnacentral:rRNA from 1 species